rnacentral:lncRNA from 1 species
GAAUACAAACUUAUACAUAUGAGGUACGGGCAUAUAAGACCAAAAUAACCACUCGUGUACUGAAUAUGGGCCGUCAAGGCGAUACAAUCUUUUACGUACAUGACAUCUGUCUACAAGCCUCGAAGAAUACAUAAUUUUCAUAAAGGUCGGGACAGAGUCUUGCAAUACCAAACAAUACACGUCUAAAUCAUGCUAACCAAACAAGCAACUCCGAAGCAAAUGACGCACACCAACAUCUUCCGCUGAAAUGGUAGCCUGCUUGGAGGGCUCUCAACCAGUCUAUUGGGACCUGCGGGCAUGAAACGCAACGUCCCCAUGCAAAAGGGAUGUCAGUACGAAUAAUGUACUGAGUAUGUAAGACACAUAAAUAAGUACAUAACAGACAUGGAAGAAAUAUAGAGUAAAUAAAUCAACCUGUAAGUCUGGAAAACUUUGUAAAUCAUGAAAUACUUAUGGUGUCAUGCAUAUACAUAUGAAUGUAAUGUUGUGCAUAUGUACAUGUUUCAUAACAUCAUCAGUCUCUGAGGGCAUCCCAUCAUAUCAUUUCGGCCACUGUGGGCAAAAUCACUAACGUAUACUAGCUGAUAAGAUGGUGGUGCGUAUAUAACACUGUAACCUUUUCCCAUAUCCUAUAUAUAUACAUAUAUACAUAUAUAUAUAUGCGUAUAUAAUGCCGUCUGAGUCAUGGGUCAAUGAACAUGUAUAAAUGCAUGAAAUGCAUAAGAAAUACAUUAAUAAGAUUUUCUCGGAAUGCCAUAAAACUCAAUAUGACUUUCGGAUAAACUUUAUCAAAUACGUAUUUUUUGAGACCCAUGAACAGAUGAUAGAGUAAUAGGACACAUGGGGAAUCAAAAACAUUAGCACUUCUAGUAUUUCUAUGAAUAGAAUCAUUUAUGAAAGCUGUGCAUUUGCUCGUUUUAUUUGUAUCGUAUGGAUUAUCCUAAAAGAAAGAAAGGGAUAGCCUUAACAUACGUGAAUCGAUUUUCUUGAGAAAGAUUGCAUUGCACUUCCUUAAAAUUAGAAAAUCUCAUGUUGCUAAGGUGCUAAGGAAUUUCGUUAAAAUCUCGUUGGAUUCACGUUGCUAACGUUGGAUCAUUGUAUGAAUUGGAGAAGUCUUAUGAAAUUCCUCACGUUACUUUGAGUUGGAGAAGUCUUAUGAAAUUUCUCAAAGUUGUGAGCUUCUCCAGCAGUAACCUUGAGUUCUUGAUUCAAACAUCCCUUUCUUAAUUCUUUAAAAUGUCUUUACUAAGUGGGUGUGGCCCCCAUAUCUUUGAUGACUAAGUCCCAUGAUUUACCUAAAUAAGACACCUUGGCAUGUGACUGAUGAGUCAUUUAUUCAAGACCUCUAUGGCUGCCACCUUUUAGCUUAUCCAUCCUCAACCAAUCAACCAAUCAACCACCAAAAUCUUAGUUAAUUAUUAAUCCCCCAUUAAUCAAUAAUUACCCAAUUAUCCACAUAAUUAAGAAUUAUCUCAAACUACUUAAAAUACUACUCACUUUUAACACACCUUUUACACCUUACUAUCAUGGUCAUGUAGUACCUUGUAUGACACUAGUCCAUAAAUACCAGGUAUUAACGCUCAGCCAGUAUAUUAUCCCAACAUGCCAAAUGUGGACGAAAAUUCAUUUUCUUUGACUUGCUUCCCCUCUCAUCUUUAAGAAUUUACUCAUCACUUGUAAAAUAACAUAAUCCUUAUAAAUUCCAAAAACGUACAAUUCUACAGGGUGUAACAUCAUCGUAAUUUAAUAAUGUGAAGCAUAACAUCAUCGUAAUAUAAUACUACAAGGCGUAACAUCAUCGUAAUAUAAUACUUCAGGAUGUAGCAUCAUCGUAAUAUAAUAUUGCAGGAUGUAAUAUUAUCGUAAUAUAAUACUGCAAGACGUAAUAUCAGUGUAAUUUUGCGGGGCGUAACAUCAUUCCCCCCUUUGGAACAUUUGUCCUCGAAUGUUGACUAAUGCUCUUAUCAUUUUCAUAACUUAUAGCUCUUGUGAAUACCUUAAUACUCUCCUUGCCAUUUAGGCAGUUGUUCUAUGAAUAAAUCCAAAGGCCAGGGCAUUCCCCCCUUUACGUCUCUUUCUCACGACACGACUUGUGUCCUGAAUUCUUCCAAUCUCGUAACUGUUGCUACCUUCUUUCAUGUAGCCUGUACGAUUCUAACCUUGUAAGUAUGCCCAUGCGAUCCUCUCUCCUUUUUCCUCCAACUUUUAGCCAAUCUUUAGGGCUCACUUUGUGAACAUAUACAGAUCUUGGUGAGAUGUCCCUCUGGGCAUCUAUAAGUAUACUGAAAUUCUUUGCUCGAUAUUUUGUCGAAUUUACGAAUAUUGCUAUAUCUUAUUUCAUAGACUCGAUUAUCCAUUCGUAUGGCUUUACUGCAUCUAAGUAGGUUAGUAUACCAUCUCUCUUACUUCGAUUUGUCGUUACUAAGGUCUGCGAUCAAACUCCAGGUUACUUUCUUUGCUUAUCCUAUAUGCAUAAGGCUAAGUCCUUUAAUGUUUCCUCAUUACUAUUCAUCUCAAGAAUUACGACCUAAUCUCUGCUCAUACUUUGUGACUUUUGUCCAUCCAUUAUGAUUUGCCUUAAUAUUGAUCUACAAUAUACCAUUGAUAACUUGAAACUUCUUACGUAAUACCUUGCCACUAGGACUUACGUUAUAUCGACGAAUAUUUGAAGUGAUUCCCAUAAUCGUAUUUCAUAGCAUCCCAAUGUGAUUCACCCUAUGUGGGUAUUUAUUCCUGUGCAACUCAUGAAAUCCCCUUUUUUUGUAUUUUUGUUUUCAAAUCAUUAAUCAAUCCCCAAAUGUUAUCCUUUACUUAUCACAGUUACACCCUCAUUCCAUUAACAUGGCAACAUUCCAUUUCUUCAAAAUGCUAUUAGUCUUAGAUUCCUUUGAGUUCAUUCAGGCUAUACUGAACUUUCUAUAACUUAGAUAAACCAUUAGCUCUCUUGUUUUCAUGGACAUAAUCCCGAGAACUUAUCCAUUCUCGUCCCCUUUUCAUUUGCCUUUCCUUAUCCUUACUUAUGUCUUCUUAAAACUUUGUCGCUCUACCAUACUUUAGCUUGCGACCUAUACAUAUCCAUUUAUACUACUCGCAACCUUCCUUCAACUUGCUUGCACCAUAGAUUUUCUUAUGUUAUUCUGGAACGUCAAGCGAGACAUCACAUCAUCUUUAACUCUUCUCUACUCUCUUAACUAGACCUCUCGGUACUUAGAAACCAUAGGCUGGAAGACAUGCCACUGACGAUGCCGCUAUCAUUCCUAGUUAUUGAAAUCCCGCAUCAUAUCUUUCUCUCCUUCAUAACCUCCCCUCCACAUAGGUAUGAUUCACACUACAACUUGAAGCUCUAUUAUAAUACUACAAUCCGGUGGGAACUUCGAAAUGACUUCUUAUGAGGCUGUUACUUUUUUAACUGGCUUUAUCGUAGAGCUAUUAUAGAAUAUGGCUGCUGUACUAUCUUUCGUGUACCUCUGAUAUUUAAAAGGUAAUCCUGCAAUGUUCUCAAUCACGAAUUCUAUAAUUUUCUGGGUCCAAUAGUCAGAUUCCUGAUUUACUUCAUUGAUGUAACUCUUUAGUUUCCUCGUUCUUCUGAUCAGCCUUUACGUCGGCUUAAGUUAUCUCCCGAUCUGUGGUCCAUAGUAUUAGUUAUUCUGUUUACCCUUUCAUGGGCGAUGAGGAAUAUGCAUGAUACAAUCCUUUAACAAUUGAAUCCUUCGUUUAUGACCUGGGCUCAAUUCCUUCCUUUAACGUAUACCAGAAUCUUCUAUGGUUGAAUAUGCUGCAUGUAUAAAACUCUGAACCCGUAUGUGCGUUCAUAACAUAACCGACUCUGGAUCAUUGGUCGAAUAAUUUCUUUCGUUCCAUCUUAAAUCUCUUUCAGCGUAAGCUAUUACUUUUCAUGGUAUUUCUGCCCCUUUGUUACGUCAUACUUAGUUUAUCUUAGUGCCCACACAUAUUGGAAUUCCAUACAACCCAUAUGAUCUUGAAUAUCAUCCUUUGAUUCUUUUUUUCUUCCCGUUUAUUAGCCACGAUAGGUUCCACUUUCUUAUGGAGUCCAUACAAUGUUGUUGUGGGACUAUUGUUAUAUGAUCAUUUCCUUUUUAGGUCAUUAUGCUUAGGUUGAAGCCUUCUUCCUUAAUUCCUCAACUUAGCCUUUCAUUGUAGUACUUAGGGAGAAUCCUCUGACUCUUGUAAAGCAGUGAGCUUAUUAUAUUUUAUAUUCAACGGACCUUCUGAUGUCCUUCCUUGCCUAUACUUAUCCGUAGUUACUUAUCUCUAUGCCCUUGUGCUUGUGGGGUUGCUUCUGAACUGACAUUUUGACUGUCUUCCGAGUGGCACUCUCUUUUAUCCCCAUAAAAAUCAUACGGUACCUUUAAUUACCUCGACUCCUAUUUAAAUAUAUCUCAAGUGUUAUAAUGACAUUACUACGAGGCUGAAUUCUCCAUGUUGAGGUUUACUAUAUUUAUCUUGCAUGAUCUGCUGAUUUGUCUGUAACUUCUUGUCUAGUCAUGACUAGGUUCUUCCCGAAUCAACUACUAAAUACUCGUUGGUCCAUUCCCAUAUCCAGAUUCCGCGUAAUCUUUCUUGGAUUAUUUCAUUGUCUUAACUUAUCUCACGUAUUGGCUCUUUAUCUAUCAAUAACAUCCCGGGCAAGAACCCUUACUUCCUUUUUUUUUGACGUUGUGCUUGCAUAACGUUCUAGAAUCAUAGCAUAUCUGUAACAUUUGGAUAAGUGCAAUCUCAUCCCGUUCUCAUUUUUAUCACAUUCUUCCUUUAUCAUUCCAUAUUCCCUCCUUUUGGGGAGUACUAAAACUUGGAGCUAUGACGACCCGCCUACAGAUAUUUUUCCUCUUUAUCUUUGGCGUCCUUUCACAUCAUCCAUGACCCUUACUCGCCUUGCGGUAAUCCUUCAGUACCAAGGAUAACAAAAUUCCUCACUCGCGAAAGUGACACUUAGUGUAAGUUGUCACACCUCCUUUUUUAUACACCCGAAGGUAGUACAAGGGAGUUUUUCCAAUUUAAGUGACAUUAUUCGAAAUGGAAUUAUUUAUUUAUUUUAUUCAAAGUCGCCACUUGGGAUGGUUUGUUUUUGGGUGUCCCAAGUCACCGGUUUAUUUUAGAUCCAAAAUCGAGGAAAAUUCGACUUUCCUUUUGAAGUCUGCGAAUCAGAAAUUCUAAGUAAGGAAUUCUGUUAACCCGGGAGAAGGUGUUAGGCAUUCCCAGAUUCCGUGGUUCUAGCACGGUCGCUUAAACUAUUAUAAUUGACCUAUUAUCUAAUUUUAAUACAUGUUUUAGCCUAUGGUGCAUUUUUAACUUAUUAGCCGCUUUUAAUUAAUUUUAGGAAGUUUCAACGUUAUCUAAAACACAUCUUGAACCACGCCACAUGAAAUGCACCCGCGGUCCAUGAUACAUUUUAUUUAACGUUGUUGAGAAUUGGAGUUGGGUCACAUGAAAUGCACACCCGAGUUUAGGAAAUUAAUUUUAAAAUAGCGCACCUAAAACAACUACGCGCUUUCAGGUUAAUAACAAGGUUUGCGAGGGCCAUGGAAAAUUCAAUUAAUGACACACCUCGAUUUCUAAAGAGUUAAAAAUUAAUUAAGUGAGGUCCAUGGGUUUUGAGAUUUUUAUUUGGCAUGGCACGCCUCGAAUUAUUUCAAAAGAUUUUAUUCAACUAAAGCAAACUGCGGACGUCCAUAAAUAUUAUUUCUAAACUAAUUUGAAAUUAUUGUGAAUGCCAUAACUUGCAUAAGUUCAAUUGCCACCAAAAAAUUAAUUUAAACCUAUAUAAAAAAAAAUUAAAUCUUGCAUAAAAUAAUGCUAACAAUUAAUCAAAACUAGAUACUAGAGAGUCACUACAACUUUGGAUUAGCGAGAUUACCGGCAUCUGAAUCAAAGUAAUACAAACCAAAUAAUUAUAACAAAUAUUGGAAAUUAAAAAAAAAACACAUAAAACAAACAUGAAAAGAUCCAAAUGUGGAUUAAAACAAAAGGAAUUAACAAGUUUUAAAAAAAACAGACCUUACGUAUCAAAUCAGGCAGUCAUCAAUCAAAUAACAAUCCAAUGUGUCUUUGUACUGAUAGAUAUAAAUUUGAAUUACAGCAACUGGUCAUUUUUAAACCGGAAUAUUUGCCGGCGACUUCAACUGGAACCAACAAUCGGAGCUCGACGGACUCAACCUCAAUCAACCUCUCGUUACCCUUUAAUGUUUACUGUUGUAUGUCAAAAGAAAGGCUGUUUUGAGGCAUGUUUGGAUUAAUUUUUUUUACUGUUUCCAUGGAGUUUUCGGCUGGAAUGUUGGAGGUAUUUUGGAGCUGGUUUUCCUGGGUUUAAGUGGGUGUUUUCGGGAAGGUUCUUGGGAGAUGAAGAAGAUUAGAGUGUCGUUCACAAAACUUUUCGAAUCGCUGAUCCGUGUGGUGUGCGACGAAGAAGAUGAGGUUCCGGGGGUGGUUCUAGGUCUGCGGCAGUCAGAUCUGCGUUCCUGCAGCUGUCCGCUUUUUCCCUAAGUCAGCCUUUUGGUUUUGUAUAUUUUUUUUGUGUUUUAGCUGAUAGGCGUUGGCUUCUUUAUACAAAACGGCUGAUUGUG